AAGUAUUGAAAUCUUAGACCAUUACAUAAAAAAGGAAGAUUUGUAUGUUUUAGUGGAUAUUUAUAUCAGUAUCUGGUCUAGUUAUUGUGUUGACAGUCUAUGCAGCGAUCUUUUUUCAAGAAACAUUGAAAUCUUAGACCAUUAUAAGGAAGAUUUGUAUGUUUUAGUGGACAUUAAUAUCAGUAUCUGGUCUAGUUAUUGUGUUGACAGUCUAAUGCAGCAAUCUUUCUUCAAGAAACAUUGAAAUCUUAGACCAUUAUAAGGAAGAUUUGUAUGUUUUAGUGGACAUUAAGGAAGAUUUGUAUGUUUUAGGGGACAUUAAUAUCUGGUGGUUAUUGUGAAG
rnacentral:lncRNA from 1 species